rnacentral:lncRNA from 1 species
UUUAUAUUAAUAAAACCUUAUUUUCAUUUAAUGAUGAUAUAGGGGGAAAAAAAAACAGUCCUAGAAACAUCAUUAGCUCAGAGAGGAGUGGGCAGUGUCCUUCUGAAAUGGAUUUUCACAUAAUGGCAUUUUAGAAGGUAUUUAAAUCAUACAGAUCUGACCCGUUCUGGGUAUGGUUUUAUGCAAAGAAAUCUUAAUGAAGUUUUCAACAUGGCUCCUAAUUUGGGGGCAUUUCAUGGUUCAAAUUUUUGGUCCCUUCUGGAACUUCAAGGUGCUUCCAAUUAACAAUAACUUUGAACACUGACUCCUGCAGUAUGGUAUGCCUCCCCUGCCAGGUGGGCUUUCUGUGGAUACUCAUGGCACUCUACGUGCCCGCAACCAAGACAAGCAGAGGUUCACCACUGUAUUCCCCAGAAGAGGUAUGGCAUUGAUUUAAAACUUCAACAUUAUUUUCCAGGUUGAGAAACUGGAAACAUCGGAGCAAGUAAGCCUAAAAAUAGCCUUGUGUUUUUCUGGUUACUAUAUCUUUCAUAUAGAACUCAAAAUUAGUGAAAAG